rnacentral:misc_RNA from 1 species
CCCUUCACAAGUAAACCUAAACCCUCAUCUAUUCACAGAUAACGGGACCCGCAAGCUUACACAGUCGGCACUCUGCCCACCUCCCGGCGAGGCUCCACCGGAUUCCCUCUCACUGUCAUCGCCAUCCUUUACUCUCCUUCAGCCUCUCUCUGAGUCUUGCUUCUGCACGGUCGCAUCUGCACAGAAUCUAUCGGCCCUUAAGCUCGCCCUUGCUCCUCAAUCCCGUCGCCUGCCGCUCAAUCUCGCCGCUGCUCCUUCACGCGUUGCCGCUUCUAACAGUAAAAUUUUUAUCGGCAUAGGAGAUCAAAAUAUGGAGGAAGACGAUGACUAUGAGGAAUAUGUUCCGGUGGCGAAACGCCGAGCGAUAGAAGCGCAAAAGAUACUUCAAAGAAAGGGAAAGUUAUCUGCUUUAGAAGAUGAACUUGAGAAAUCCAAACUUGCUGAAGCCAAACCGAGUCUACUCGUCAAGGCUUCCCAGCUUAAGCGUGAUCAACCUGAAAUUAGUCAUACUGAGCAGAUUGUGCAACAAGAGAAAGAGAUGAUAGAGCAUUUAUCAGAUAGGAAAACUUUAAUGUCCGUUCGCGAAUUGGCUAAGGGAAUCACGUAUACUGAGCCCUUAUUGACUGGAUGGAAGCCCCCGCUUCAGAUUAGAAGAAUGCCCAGAAAUCAGUGUGAUGCGAUUAGGAAACAGUGGCACAUUAUAGUUGAUGGGGAAGACAUCCCUCCACCGAUAAAGAAUUUUAAAGAUAUGAGGUUUCCGGAACCAAUUCUGAAGAAGUUAAAAGCUAAAGGCAUUGUGCAGCCUACUCCUAUCCAGGUGCAGGGUCUUCCUGUGAUCUUAUCUGGAAGGGAUAUGAUUGGGAUUGCUUUUACCGGCUCUGGGAAGACCCUUGUUUUUGUGCUUCCCAUGAUUAUGAUUGCUUUACAGGAGGAGAUUAUGAUGCCCAUCGCCCCAGGAGAAGGACCCUUUGGUUUGAUCAUUUGUCCAUCAAGAGAGCUUGCUAGACAAACUUAUGAAGUGGUGGAACAGUUUUUAAUUCCAAUGAGAGAGGCUGGGUGUCCAGAGUUGAGGCCGUUACUGUGUAUUGGUGGAGUGGAUAUGAGGUCACAGUUGGAGGUUGUGAAGAAAGGCGUGCACAUUGUUGUUGCAACCCCUGGGAGGUUGAAAGACAUGCUAGCAAAGAAGAAAAUGAAUUUGGAUAACUGCAGGUAUUUGACAUUGGAUGAGGCUGAUAGAUUGGUAGAUUUGGGCUUUGAGGAUGACAUAAGGGAAGUCUUUGACCACUUUAAAGCCCAAAGGCAAACUCUUCUAUUCUCUGCCACCAUGCCAACAAAAAUUCAGAACUUUGCCCGGAGUGCUCUGGUAAAGCCUGUUACUGUUAAUGUUGGAAGAGCGGGAGCAGCAAACCUUGAUGUGAUCCAGGAGGUUGAGUAUGUAAAACAGGAGGCAAAGAUUGUUUACCUUCUUGAGUGCUUACAGAAAACACCGCCUCCUGUUUUAAUAUUUUGUGAGAACAAGGCUGAUGUGGAUGACAUUCAUGAAUAUCUCCUCCUUAAGGGUGUUGAGGCUGUUGCUAUUCAUGGAGGCAAAGACCAAGAAGAAAGAGAAUAUGCAAUUUCAUCCUUCAAAGCAGGCAAGAAAGAUGUCUUGGUUGCAACUGAUGUUGCCUCAAAGGGUUUGGAUUUUCCAGAUAUCCAACAUGUAAUAAACUAUGAUAUGCCUGCAGAAAUUGAAAAUUAUGUUCAUAGGAUUGGACGAACAGGAAGGUGUGGUAAGACUGGAAUUGCAACAACGUUUAUAAACAAAAACCAGAGUGAGACAACAUUGCUCGACUUGAAGCACCUAUUGCAAGAAGCAAAACAGAGGAUCCCUCCUGUUCUGGCAGAGUUGAAUGAUCCAAUGGAAGAUGGUGACACAAUUACUAGUGCAAGUGGAGUUAAGGGCUGUGCUUACUGUGGUGGGCUAGGUCACCGUAUUCGAGAUUGUCCCAAGUUGGAGCAUCAGAGAUCUCAGCAACUUGCUAACUCGAGAAGGGAUUAUUUUGGUUCUGGGGGGUAUAGGGGGGAAAUCUGAUGUAUAUACACUUCUUCAGUUGAUUGUGCAAGUUUUUACCUUUGUUAUGUUUUUUGACGCUAUUAAGUACUACCGAAUGGGAAUGCUUAUCAAGUUUUAUGUAUUGCAAUACAUGAAUGUAACAUAGGAUGAAUGUUAUUGGAGAUGAGUUUGCUAACAUUUUUAGAACCUCACUUGCAUCUAUCCAUGGAGUCAUU